CUCCUAGACCUGAAACAUCAGACAAUAUGGAGCUAAACCCUGGUCCUGUGUAUGAAAACAUCUCAACUCAAAGCACAGAGCAGACUGAUCAUCACUAUGGCAGACUUGACUUCUCUAACACCCAGAGAGAUCUCUACUCCACCAUCAGCCCCGAGAACAGGAGCAAGACCCCCGUUCUGCUGUCAACUUAAGAUCCAACACAUGGCGUCCUCAGGCAAGUCAAGACGAACCCCUGUUCCUGACUGACAGAGGAAGGCUAUGUCAAGGUCUUGGUUUACUACACGCCUCCAUCUCCUCUGCAAACAAUGUGGCCUCCCCUCUGAACUUAACACCUCUCA